UACGUAGGGGGCAAGCGUUGUCCGGAAUCAUUGGGCGUAAAGCGCGUGUAGGCGGCUCGAUAAGUCUGCUGUGAAAGUCCAGGCUCAACCCUGGGAUGCCGGUGGAUACUGUCGAGCUCGAGUCCGGAAGAGGAGUGUGGAAUUCCUGGUGUAGCGGUGGAAAUGCGCAGAUAUCAGGAGGAACACCGGUGGCGAAGGCGGGUCUCUGGGCCGUAACUGACGCUGAGGAGCGAAAGCAUGGGGAGCGAACAGG
rnacentral:rRNA from 1 species